rnacentral:piRNA from 1 species
UGUUGUAGGAGGUGUGGCCUUGUGGUUGU